rnacentral:lncRNA from 1 species
CUUUGUUUAAACUGCUUUUGCAUCUUCCAUCUCACCCUCUCUGUGUUCCAUCAAGGUUUCCUCAUGUGGUUCUCUCAUGGGCUCCUCUGUGCUCUCUGCCCACAGCCUCCUGGAGGUGCCAUACUGACUGCAGGGCUCGAGCAUUUUUUGGUAUGUUCUCAUCACCAAAAUCAAUGAUGAAAACAUUGACUUAGUGCCAGAUGAACAAUUGCACCACACUUAUUGUUCCACUGAUCAUCACUACCUACAGAAGAUUUUAUGACCUGUUAUAAAUUAAUUUUAUAGAUCUUGACUAUGUUUUCC